rnacentral:rRNA from 1 species
CGAGGGGUAGAAGGAGCUUGCUCCUUUGAGACCGGCGCACGGGUGCGUAACGCGUAUGCUAUCUACCUUGUACAGGGGGAUAGCCCAGAGAAAUUUGGAUUAAUACCCCAUAGUAUUUUCAGAUGGCCUCAUUUGAUUAUUAAAGUUCCAACGGUACAAGAUGAGCAUGCGUCCCAUUAGCUAGUUGGUGUGGUAACAGCAUACCAAGGCAACGAUGGGUAGGGGUCCUGAGAGGGAGAUCCCCCACACUGGUACUGAGACACGGACCAGACUCCUACGGGAGGCAGCAGUGAGGAAUAUUGGUCAAUGGGCGCAAGCCUGAACCAGCCAUGCCGCGUGCAGGAUGACGGUCCUAUGGAUUGUAAACUGCUUUUGUACAGGAAGAAACCCUCCCUUGUAAGGGAGCUUGACGGUACUGUAAGAAUAAGGAUCGGCUAACUCCGUGCCAGCAGCCGCGGUAAUACGGAGGAUCCAAGCGUUAUCCGGAAUCAUUGGGUUUAAAGGGUCCGUAGGCGGUUUUAUAAGUCAGUGGUGAAAUCUGGUCGCUCAACGAUCAAACGGCCAUUGAUACUGUAAGACUUGAAUUACUUGGAAGUAACUAGAAUAUGUAGUGUAGCGGUGAAAUGCUUAGAGAUUACAUGGAAUACCGAUUGCGAAGGCAGGUUACUACGAGUAUAUUGACGCUGAUGG